GCCAGUGUAGUACAGUGGUUUGGGUGCUAGACCAGGGCACUGGGAUACCAGGGUUCGAAUCCCUGCUUGGUCA